rnacentral:lncRNA from 1 species
AUAUUUUUCAGAUCCACAUAUGAGCGGCGCGGCGGCGCGAGGAAAGGGCGUAGCUCGGUAGAUAAGACCAGAGAUAAAAGUACCCUGAGUCAGCAUAGCUUAGGGGUGUAAAAAAGAAAAGACUAAAUUUGUAAUAAGUUGAUUGAAUUUGAAAGUUGAAUGUAAAAUUUAAUAUAAAUGUGAUGUAAAAUGAGCUGAAUGCUUGUAAUAGCUUAAUAAUUAUGUUGUUGAUA